AAUUUGGUCUUAAUCAGGCUGAGCUAAGCCAGUCUGUAUUUGAGGAGUUGGAAGCAGGUGAUUCGGGCACAAAUUUGAAGGCUGAUAAACGGCAGCCGUCACCCGUGCACUCAGAGCGGCCAGAAGUCCUGCUCCUGGGGAAGGAGGAAGGGCGCAAGGGCAAUGAGCAUGUCGCCUUGCCCUCGGGGUGUGCGGUUUCUGCUCAGCCUCCUCUUGCAGCCUUGUUUCAAGUGUGGGAAUGGCCUCCUGACUCCCAAUCCGAAACAACUGCUGAGCACAGAAGGCAGAGCAGGGCCCUGAGAGUCAGAGGAAAAUGCUGCUGCGGGGACUGGGGAGCCCCAUCGGGUGACUCCCCAGAGAUGUGAGCAGGUGCAGAGGCUGGAACAACAGUGCUGCAGGAAAGUCUCUCCCGUGGAUGCUGUGGCCUGGGGCUUGGGUGACGACGUGCACGGCUGCCUCCUCGCUGUCACGUGCUCUGCUGGCUCGUCUCCAAGCUGUGCUGCUCAUGUUCCAAAGUCUCCCUGGAGGCUUUAGUGAAAAGCCCUUUCCCCGGUGACCUGGAGUGUCUUGCUAGAUGGAGCUGGCCAAGCCUGACGUCUUUUCCUGGCCGAUGCCUCAGUCCUUAUGCAAAGUGUGAACUUGGCCUUUACAUCCUUCUCCGCAGAGCACUGCAAGCAGCCAGUCCCACUGGAACAUAAGAUGAAGCUUUUGUUCCCAUGGCUGGAUACACUUUGGAUCUUGGAAUGCAAUAAUUACUUCAGCUGGAUCUGGUUCGUGGAGUACUUGGCCAGGGCUCUGCCUCAUGCCAUGGUCCUACAAGAUAUGUGAGGAGGUGGACAUCUUUGCGUAGCCCUCCUCCAGAGGCAAGUGGAUUCCUUCCAUAACCCAGAGAAGGCCGCUUGGGAAUGAGGCUGAGAAGCCAGACUUUUUGGCACACAAAGAAAAAGGGAGUUUUCAAAGUUGCCGCAAAUCAUGCAGGAAGAGAAAACAGGACAUUAGUGGACACUGAUUCUUCCCCUCUGCUGAACUCUGAGUCCAGUUUAAAUCUUUAAUAACAUAACACAUGGAGAAAAUUGCUUAUAUAAAAUGAUCACCUUUCUUUUAAAAAAAAAAAAUUAUAGAGACUGGGUCUUGCUCUAUUGCCCAUGCUGGA
rnacentral:lncRNA from 1 species